UGCUGUCUGCUUCCCCACUGCUACUGACACACCUUCAUCGCCAUUAAAAGCGACGCCCAGCACACUCCUAGCUAGCCUUGUCCUACCACAAUCCAAUCCCCCCUCCUCCACUCCUCCUCCUCCUCCUCUCUCUCUCUCUCUCUCUCUCUCUCUCUCAAGCGGAGGAGUCCGAAAUGGGAGGCGCCCCGCCGCUCUCCGUCCCUCCGAAUCUCCUCGCCGCUUCCCUCUUCCUCCUCUGUCUACUGAACUUCUGCAAUCUAGACAAAAUAUUGGUUAAUAGCUUUGAACUAGCGAAUCCGGUGAUGGAGGCAAAGGAAACAAAUUUAUUGCCUGAUACUUCUCCAAACAGUGCUCCACAACCUUUUAUUCCUUUACUUGCUCCUUCCCCCAUGGCAACACCAUUUUUCCACAAUAGCACUCCAAAAUUAUCAGGACAAUGUUCAUUGAACUUUUCUGCAGUUGACAAUUUGUUAAGAACAACUGCUGUUGAUUGUUGGGCCUCCUUCGCUCCUUUCUUAGCCAAUGUUAUUUGUUGUCCGCAGUUCGAGGCUACCCUUGUUAUUCUAAUUGGACAAGCAAGUAAAGAUUCAGGUUUACUUGCGCUGGACUCUGUUCAUGCAAAUUAUUGCCUAUCAGAUAUUCAACAGAUUCUUGGAAGUCAGGGUGUCCCUAGUGACCUUCAUGAUAUUUGUUCCAUCCACUCUUCUAACCUCUCUGAAGGAUCCUGCCCAAUUAAUGAUACCAUUGGGUUUGAGAGUGUUGUUGACUCUUCUAAACUCCUUGCUGCAUGUUCAAAGGUUGAUGCUGUGAAUGAAUGCUGCAGACAAAUCUGUCAAAGUGCCAUCAAUGAAGCUGCAAAAAACCUUGUCUUGAAGGAUGGCGGAUUGAUGACGAAUAUGGAAAUUAAUGAUACAACAGUGGAGUAUUCAUCUACUGUGAACAGCUGUAAAAACAUUGUCCUUAGGUGGCUAUCUAGUAGACUUGAUUCUUCAUCUGCAAAGCAAGUGUUGAGAGGACUAUCAAACUGUAAUGUUAACGGAGCUUGUCCGUUAAAUUUCCCAGACACCAAGGAUGUUGCCAGAGAUUGUUCUGAUGGGAUUAAGAAUAAUAGUGCCUGCUGUCAUGCUAUGGAUAAUUACGUCUCACAUUUACAAAAGCAAAGUUUCAUUACCAAUUUGCAAGCUUUGGGUUGUGCCGCCUCACUUGGUAAAAAAUUGCAAAACAUGAGUGUCAGAACAAAUGUUUAUAGUUUAUGCCAGAUAACUCUCAAGGAUUUUUCACUCCAAGUUGGGACCCAAGAGUCUGGAUGCCUUCUUCCAAGCUUACCAUCAGAUGCAACGUUUGACCCUUACUCAGGGAUCAGUUUCACUUGUGAUUUGAAUGAUAAUAUUGCAGCUCCUUGGCCAUCUGCAUCUCAACCAUCUUCGUCUACCUGUAACAAGUCUGUUAAGUAUCCUAAUUAUCCUGCACUUCCAGCAGCGACCUCUUCAUCUUUGGGUCUAGUGCGAACCUGUGUGAAAUUUACCAUGAUCAUUUGUUCAUUUCUGCCGCUUGCGAUGAUGCUAUAAUCCUCUUUAGUUACAUUGUUCUAAUACUAAGUUUGCUGCCCCCUGGCCUGUUCAUGCUGGUGCUGUAUCGCCAAAGCUGAAAAGAAGGGGCGCGGAUGGUAAGACCUGUUAGAAAAUGAUCUAUGAAGUGCUCCGAGUGUUUUUGAACUGUCGGUGAACGACGAAAGUGAAAAAGAAUGAAUGCCAGUGCAUUGCAGGAUCGAGAAUGCAAAAGGGUGUGUGUUAGUUUUGUGAAAUUUGUUCUUCAUGUAAAUAUGACUGACUUUUGUGCUUGUCAAUUGGUAAUGCAACUGCACUUCACUUGUUGCU